CGUGCUGCCCUCUUCGGAUGUGGAGCGCCGGGUGAAGGAGGCCAUGGGGAGUCCUGCUGACCGAGAAGUUCCCCGGUGCGCGGCCGGGGAAGCUGUUUUUCGUGUGCGUCGAGGACAUGGCCGUUCGGGGGUUCUGCUGCCUGGCAUGUUCGAUGGACUGUCCAAAGUUCAAAUGUUUCUUCGUUCAGUUUUUAUUUCUUCUUCAGUUACUUUAGUCUUCAGUAGGUGAUUCUCUCUUCUAUCAGCGUGUCUCACUUUCAUUUUACAGUAUCAUGAGUGUUUGUAUUAGUUUUCAGUUUUAAGUAACCAUUUUAGUCCAUGUUAGUCCUUCUAGUGACGCCAAGUUUCUUCUGUGUAUCUUUCUUGAGUCCUCAUUCUCUCAUGCAGUGUAUUAGCAGUUUUAACUAUUGUUCAGUUAUUUUCUCAAUACAACCUA